AUACUUACCUGCAGGUAGAUACUAUGAUCCAGAAGGUGCUUUGCCCAGGGCGAGGCUCACACAUUGCACUCCUGGUGUGCUGAACCAUGCAGUUUCCCCAAACAUGGGAAACUUGAUGGCAUAACUCGUAAUAGUGGAGGACUACGUUCACCCUUUC